rnacentral:misc_RNA from 2 species
AACGCACCUUGCGCUCCUUGGUAUUCCGAGGAGCAUGCCUGUUUGAGUGUCAUCGAAUUCUCAACCAUGUCUUGAAUUAGGCAUGGCUUGGACUUGGGGGUUGCUGGCACACGUUGUCAAGCUCUCCUGAAAUGCAUUAGCGAUGUUCAGCAAGCCUGAACGUGCACGGCCUUUUCGACGUGAUAACGAUCGUCGUGGGCUGGAGCGUAGGGUGAGCAGUGAAUCGCUUCUAAUCUAUACCUCAGUUACUAGUCGGUCGUGAGACUGACGAACGCGCGAGGCUUGAUCUUGGACCCCAAGCCUUAGUUACUAGUCGGUCGUGAGGCCGACGAACGCGCAGGGUUAGGACCAUUUGAACUCUUGACCUCAAAUCAGGUAGGACUACCCGCUGAACUUAA